rnacentral:rRNA from 1 species
UAGGGAAUGUUCCGCAAUGGGCGAAAGCCUGACGGAGCAACGCCGCGUGAGUGAAGAAGGUCUUCGGAUCGUAAAGCUCUGUCAACAGGGACGAAACAAGACGGUACCUGAGAAGGAAGCCACGGCAAACUACGUGCCAGCAGCCGCGGUAAUACGUAGGUGGCAAGCGUUGUCCGGAAUAACUGGGCGUAAAGCGCAUGUAGACGGCAUGAUAAGCCAAAUGUGAAAUGUAGGGGCUCAACCCCUACACUGCGAUUGGAACUGUCAAGCUUGAGUGCAGGAGAGGCAAAUGGAAUUCCCGAGUGUAGCAGUGAAAUGCGUAGAGAUUGGGAGGAACACCAGUGGCGAAGGCGAUUUGCUGGACUGCAACUGACGUUGAGAUGCGAAAGCAGGGGAGCA